rnacentral:lncRNA from 1 species
UUCAAUUACGCUAAUUGAUUGCUCAAAAUUUCUCUUAUUUACAAUAUUCAUUCAACUACACAAUUUUUUUUACUACACUAGCAGAAUUUCGAUACGAAUGGAACAGAAUUGAGCAAAAUGAAAAAAACGAGACAGUAAUAAGUAAUAACAAAAACAAAAGAGCCUUUCAACAAUUUUCCUUACCAAACAAACAAAAACCACAAACGCCAAUAAAGUGCAGAAACUUGGAUCACAAAUUUCUGAAUCGCUUCUUGAUGCAAUUCCUCAUUGUUUUCCUACGAGACUUAAGGCGCUCUUGUCCAGGAGCCACGUUAACAAACGAGAAAUAAGCUCCUACGCCGAAGAGCAAACCGCCGAUGACAAAUGCGCCACCGGUCACCGCCAUUUGCCUCGCCGUCGGCGGAUACGACCACACCACCAUUCAAUCUUCAAUCAAUCUUAAAACCUAAAACCAGAAAUUAUUUUUGCAAAUAAAUCUCUGAACUUUGGGCCUUUCGGCUUGCUGUAAAACACCUGCCUACUUAUUUUCAAUUCUUAUUUUUAUUUGACUUAAAUAUCAAUUUGGUC